UACGUAGGGGGCUAGCGUUGUCCGGAAUCAUUGGGCGUAAAGAGCGUGUAGGCGGCUCGAUAAGUCCGCUGUGAAAGUCCAGGGCUCAACCCUGGGAUGCCGGUGGAUACUGUCGGGCUCGAGUCCGGAAGAGGCGAGUGGAAUUCCGUGGUGUAGCGGUGAAAUGCGCAGAUAUCAGGAGGAACACCAAUGGCGAAGGCAGCUCGCUGGGACGUGACUGACGCUGAGACGCGAAAGCGUGGGAGCAAACAGG
rnacentral:rRNA from 1 species